rnacentral:rRNA from 1 species
CAGCAGCCGCGGUAACACGUAGGGUGCAAGCGUUAAUCGGAAUUACUGGGCGUAAAGCGUGCGCAGGCGGUUAUAUAAGACAGAUGUGAAAUCCCCGGGCUCAACCUGGGAACUGCAUUUGUGACUGUAUAGCUAGAGUACGGCAGAGGGGGAUGGAAUUCCGCGUGUAGCAGUGAAAUGCGUAGAUAUGCGGAGGAACACCGAUGGCGAAGGCAAUCCCCUGGGCCUGUACUGACGCUCAUGCACGAAAGCGUGGGGAGCAAACAGGAUUAGAUACCGUGUAGUCCCUGUCUCUUAUACA